GAUCAUGGCCAACACUUAGGGGAUGCUGUUGUCUGACACAUCAUACUAAUCCACCCCUUUGCUUUCCAAGGGCUUUUCUGGAAGGGUAUAUUUCUUAAGCUAAGCCAGAGCUACCACUUGUUACAUGACCCAGAAUAGGCACGUCAAGGAUCUGAUGAUCCUCUACCAUCAGGAAAUCCAGCACGUGAUUUCAUGCACUGGAAAUUAAAAGUUAAGAGAUCUGGAAGAGUCUAAACGAGUAGAACUCAGAAAGACCCCUGCAGUGAAUAGAUAGGCAAGAAAUGACUUUCCUGGAGCAUAUUUCAUCUCCCAUUAAUGGAAAUGAGGCAGUGCUCUACUGUGUAAUCUUUUGUAUUUCCCCUGUACACCCAGUUUGAUGGGUAUCUCAGUGAUCAGUUUAGCUAGUGAGCAAUUAAAGACUAAUUUAUAUCUUCACAUGAGAUUAAAAUGUUGGAUGGAUUAAUUUUUGAAAGCUGUUACCUUUCAUGGAAGACAACAUUAACUGAUUGGACAUACACACAGCAUUUCUACUUACUGAGAGAGGAGCUGCCAUGAAACUCAAGAAAAUCUCUGCUUCACUCAGCACACUUAUCCCAGGUGAUAAAUGCUUUCAUCAGCUCCUCUAGGUAAAGAUAAUGGCUGUUGCAUGGCUUCAUUCCAGUGAAACCCUAGCUACCACAGAACAUAGAGUUUAUUAUACACAUAAGUUUCAGUGAAGCAAUUUUCAUGCUGACCUGCAUUAAAUAUAUUGAUUCAGGUAUACAUGGCAGCACAAGGAAUAGAGCUUCUCUUCAUGCAUGCCUAUGUUGUCUUAAAGAGCAGGGAAUCAACCAUCAACACUGGGAUUGAGGGCUGAAAAGGCCGCUUGUUUUGUCAACGAAGCAAGAAGAGGAAGAAGGAGGAGAGGAGGAAGAAGAAGAAGAGAAAGAAAGGCUAAGCAGUUUCAGACCAUCUUGGUGCCUGGAUGAAAGAUGUUCCCUCUGAGUCAGCAGCGUGCUGUUCCAGCAUUUUGCAAGGGGUUUUCUCCUAUUGGCAAAGCCAGAUAUGGUCAUAAAUUAUCCAAGUCUUUAAAGGGACAACACUUUGGUCCACAAUGGAAAUUUCUUUCCAGGCCACCUUGUGUAAUCAGGAGCUUGCAUCCAUCUUAUCCUCUUGAUUGAUGGACAUAAGUCCGAAUACGAGAAGUGAUGAGCCCUUGGAUGGUGAGGGUGGAGAGAUGGGGAGUGAGGGAAUUGUGGAUGGCAGUGACUGAAGCUCGGAUAUCUCCCUGGGAGAGCCAAUCUCCUCUGACAAGCCUGAUUAAAGAAGAAAUGGUUUUGGAAGCAUGAGGUCAGUGACUCCGACCAAGCUGCUACUUCAUUUAGAGAGCCAGCUCAUCUGUGCGUUUGCACUGAGGCUCUCGUAACAGUAGAGAGCUGUUAACAAGAGAUGUUUAAUCGUCUCUGGCUGACAGGGAGCUGCCAAGACACUUGGCAGCUCAGAAAGCCUUUCUGCACUCCCAGAAAGACAGGUCUUUGCAGAUGCUGAGGUUUCAAAAGGAGCAGUUGUUCCCAGCAGUCAACAGACUUGAUUUUCAAUUUGUGCUUCUUUUGAACGCAGCAGACCAUCUGCCUUGCAUAUAGACCAGGUCCACAAAUGACUGGGUCAGAAUUAAUACUUGGGGUCAUUCAAACCUCUGACAGCUCUGAAUUGUUUAGUCUUAGGUAAAUGAAAGAGGGAAAAAUAAACAUUAUCAGCAAAAACA
rnacentral:lncRNA from 1 species